AUGACCUGGGCUCUUCUCCUCCUCAGCCUCCUCAGUCAGGACCCAGGGAUCUGGGCCCAGAAUUCCCUGAAUCAGCUUCCCUCAGUGUCUGAGAAUCAGGGACAGACAGUCACCAUCUCCUGUACAGGAACCAGCAAUGACAUUGGGAAAUAUGACUAUGUCUCCUGGUACCAGCAGCAGGACGGCACAGCCCCCAAACAGCUCAUUUAUUAUGUCAACCGUCGGCCAUCAGGGAUCCCUGAUCGCUUCUCUGGCUCCAAGUCUGGCAACACAGCUACCCUGACCAUCUCUGGGCUCAAUCCUGAGGAUGAGGCUUAUUAUUACUGUUGCUCACCCAAUGGUAGCAUAUGCACAGUGGUUCAUGCUCAUAAGGAACUCAACCCCUACUUAAGGCCACCAUAUAACUUAAGACAGAAAACCCAGACUGCUGAGGAGACCUAG